rnacentral:rRNA from 1 species
UACAGGGGGGGCAAGCGUUGUUCGGAAUUACUGGGCGUAAAGGGUUCGUAGGUGGCCAACUAAGUCAGACGUGAAAUCCCUCAGCUUAACUGGGGAACUGCGUCUGAUACUGGAUGGCUUGAGUGCAGGAGAGGAACGCGGAAUUCCAGGUGUAGCGGUGAAAUGCGUAGAUAUCAGGAGGAACACCGAUGGCGAAGGCAGGUCUCUGGGCAUUAACUGACGCUGAGGAGCGAAAGCAUGGGGAGCGAACAGG